rnacentral:rRNA from 1 species
CACGUAGUUAGCCGGCGCUUCUUAUCCAGCUACCGUCAACCCACCCACAAAAGGGGCAGGCCUGCUUCACUGGCGAAAGAGGUUCACAACCCGAAGGCCUCCAUCCCUCACGCGGCGUCGCUGCGUCAGGCUUGCGCCCAUUGUGCAAUAUUCCCCACUGCUGCCUCCCGUAGGAGUCUGGGCCGUGUCUCAGUCCCAGUGUGACCGUCCACCCUCUCAGGCCGGCUACCCGUCACCGCCUUGGUAGGCCAUCACCCCACCAACAAGCUGAUAGGCCGCGAGCCCAUCCCCCAACCAAAAACACCCAAAGGCGCAAUCUUUCCCAGGCCCACCAUGCGACAGACCCAGAAUAUCCCGUAUUAGCCACACUUUCAUGCGGUUAUCCAGAAGAAGGGGCAGGUUACUCACGUGUUACUCACCCGUUCGCCACUCAUCCGGACCCACCAAAGCAGGCCCCUUCACCGUUCGACUUGUAUGUGUUAAGCACGCCGCCACGCGUCUCGUCGCGUCACGAGUAACG